UGGUCUGCUGACAUAUCAAGCAAAAUGAGUUUUAGUUUGAACCCCCGAAACUAAGUGAGCUACUUCGAAAUAGUUUUAAGAACAAACCCGUCUCUGUAGCAGUAGAGUGGGAAAAUUUCCAAGUAGAGGCGAUAUACCUACCGCACUUAGAGAUAGCUGGUUGCUUAAGAAAAGAAUAUAAGUUCAACCUUAAGUUUCUUAAUUACAUGAAAAAAUAUAUAAAACUUAAGAGCUAUUCAAAUAAGGCACAGCUUAUUUGAAACAGGAUACAACCUUCGAUACUGGGUAAUAAUUAAGAUCAGGUUCUAAGUGGGCCUAAAAGCAGCCACCUCUUAAAAAGCGUUAAAGCUUAUCACCUAUUCUACUUUAAUACCUUAAUAUACUAUAACCCGUCAUCAGUACUGAGCAAUUCCAUAAAUAUAUGGAAGUUAUAAUGCUGGAACUAGUAACAAGAAAUAGACUUUCUCCAAAAUGUAAGCCUAAGCCACAAUAGACACACUACUGGCAGUUAACGCAAAUGAACAGACUAUAACAACUUUAACAAGAGAACCCUAUAGCCCUUAGCGUCAACCUUACACCAGAACAUUCCUGGAAAGAUUAAAAGAAAAAGAAGGAACUCGGCAAAAUUUAGCCCCGCCUGUUUACCAAAAACACCGCCUUUUGACAAAACAUAAGAGGUCCAGCCUGCCCAGUGAUCUAGUUCAACGGCCGCAGUACUCUGACCGCGCAAAGGUAGCAUAAUCACUUGUCCUUUAAAUGAGGACUCGUAUCAACGGCAUCACGAGGGCUUUACUGUCUCCUUUUUCCAAUCAGUGAAACUAAUUUCCCCGUGAAGAAGCGGGGAUAUAUCUAUAAGACGAGAAGACCCCAUGGAGCUUUAAACCCAGCCACACCCCCUCCACACACUAUAUCCUCUCAGUAGUUCGGGCCCUGUGUGCUCGGUUUUAGGUUGGGGUGACCGUGGAGUACAAUAUAACCUCCAUGACAAACAAGAUUAUUCUCUUAUCCAAGAGCCACACCUCUAAGAAUUAACACACUAAUGUAAAAUGAUCCGACAAUCGAUCAACGGACCAAGUUACCCUGGGGAUAACAGCGCAAUCCAUUUCAAGAGCCCCUAUCGACAAAUGGGUUUACGACCUCGAUGUUGGAUCAGGAUAUCCCAGUGGUGCAGCA
rnacentral:rRNA from 1 species